AUUGAACGCUGGCGGCAGGCCUAACACAUGCAAGUCGAGCGAGAGGCGGACGGGUGAGUAAUGGAUGGGGAAUGCCCGAUAGAGGGGGAUAACUACUGGAAACGGUGGAUAAUACCGCAUACGGUCGGAUAACCCAUAUGGGAUUAGCUAGUAGGUAAGGUAAUGUCUUACAUAGGCGACGAUCCCUAGCUGGUCUGAGAGGAUGAGCAGCCACACUGGGACUGAGACACGGCCCAGACUCCUACGGAGGCAGCAGUGGGGAAUAUUGCACAAUGGGCGCAAGCCUGAUGCAGCCAUGCCGCGUGUAUGAAGAAGGCCCUAGGGUUGUAAAGUACUUUCAGUCGGGAGGCGUUACCGACAGAAGAAGCACCGGCUAACUCCGUGCCAGCAGCCGCGGUAAUAC
rnacentral:rRNA from 1 species